AUGUUUGUUGGUGGCAAUCUAGUUAGUUGGAGGAGCAAGAAGCAGAGUGUAGUUGCAAGGUCUAUGGCUGAGGCUGAGUUUAGAGCAAUGGCAUCUGGGUUAUGCGAGUUAAUGUGGUUAAAAAUGCUACUAACAGAACUUCAUCUGCUUGGUGGUGUACCCCUCCAACUAUAUUGUGACAAUCAAGCUGCAGUUAACAUUGUCCACAAUCCAAUUCACCAUGAUAGAACUAAGCAUGUAGAAAUAGAUAGACAUUUCAUCAAAGAAAAACUAGAUGUGGGGAUUCUGCAAGUUACUUAUGUUAAGUCUGUAAAUCAGUUAGCAGAUGUAUUGACAAAGGGGUUGAAUGUUGUAUCUUUUGUUAAGAAUUGUAGCAAGAUGGGGCUUAUUGAUAUCUUUGCCCCAUCUUGA
rnacentral:rRNA from 1 species